GACAUAUUUUAAAUAUCAAGAAAAAAAUCUCAAACCCUUUUUCUUGCGCCUUCGCGAUUUUGCAGCCCCCAUAAUCUCAAACCCUCUUGCACGUUCGAUUUCUCAGAUUCAACUCCGAUUAAUCUUAGAAAUCGUUCGACUCCUUCAGUGAAGCUUGGAAAUCUUUCGACUCUGGUGAAUCUUCCAAAUCGUUCGACUCCGGUGAAGCUUCCAAAACGUUCAACUCAGUAAUCUUCCCUUCUCUUCUGCAACUUCAAAAAGGCAUCAUAGAAUUAGAAGAUAGAAAGCAAAAAGAAGUCUGCAAUUCCAGGUACAAUAGAAGGGAUGAGUUUGGAGUUUAACGACAUGGUUGUUUUGCCCAACUGCAACCAUUCUUUGUGCUUGAAAUGUUAUCGAGACUGGUACGGAUUUAUUUGUUAUUAAGGUCCUUUUGAUAGUGACUUUGAGAAGUGGAAAAAAAAGGUAGAAUUCAAGUGCUUUAAAGUGAAUAGAUAAGUUGCAUUGUUUAACUUAGUUUUCUUUACCAAUGGGGUAUUUCCUCUUAUUAGUCUAAAGAAGGAAAUUAAGGAGUUGUAGAAUUUCUCCAAUAUCCCGUUGGUCUGAAAAAUCUUUCAUAGUCAACUUUCUUGAAUUUGCUUGUUUCGAGAAAGAUUUCUCCUAAUUAACAGUUUUUGGCAUCGUUCCAUAGAACUGAAGAAUUAUUUUUAUUAUAUAUGGAUGUUUCAUUGUUCAAAGCUCUAUGCAUAUAUAUUAAGUAAUAUACUUUUGUUGAUAGGUUACUUAUUAAACAAUGUCACUUUCUUCGUUGUGUUGCUAGAGUGAAUUAGUUAAUUUUGAUGUUUGUUGAAAGUUGAAUUGUGUAUAGAAUGUUUUUUUUUUUUCUUUUAUGAAAGGUAUUGUAAUUAAAGUGUGGGGUAGGAGAGUCGAACCUCAAUUCUCGAGGCCGAUAGUACAGACACUAUGAGUUGAGUUACGCUCUUGUUGGCAUUUUUAUUUAGUGUAAAGAAUUAAUACACUAUGAUGUUUAUUUAGUGCAUUUGUAUGAUAUGUAUUAAUUAUUGACUUUG